rnacentral:rRNA from 1 species
GCAGUUAACACAUUAAACAUUCCGCCUGGGGAGUACGGUCGCAAGAUUAAAACUCAAAGGAAUAGACGGGGACCCGCACAAGUGGUGGAGCAUGUGGUUUAACUCGAAGAUACGCGAAGAACCUUACCUAGCCUUGACAUUGAUAGAAUCUUCCAGAGAUGGAGGAGUGCCUUUAGGGGAACUUGAAAACAGGUGCUGCACGGCUGUCGUCAGCUCGUGUCGUGAGAUGUUGGGUUAAGUCCCGCAACGAGCGCAACCCUCGUCACUAGUUACUAACAGUUAGGCUGAGGACUCUAGUGAGACUGCCUUCGCAAGGAGGAGGAAGGUGAGGACGACGUCAAGUCAUCAUGGCCCUUACGGCUAGGGCAACACACGUGCUACAAUGGUUAGGACAGUGAGAAGCGAUACCGCGAGGUGGAGCCAAUCUAUAAACCUAAUCUCAGUUCGGAUUGUAGUCUGCAACUCGACUACAUGAAGCUGGAAUCACUAGUAAUCGUAGAUCAGCUAUGCUACGGUGAAUACGUUCCCGGGUCUUGUACUCACCGCCCGUCACACCAUGGGAGUUGAUUUCACCCGAAGCGGGGAAGCUAAACUGGCUACCCUCCACGGUGGAAUUAGCGACUGGGGUGAAGUCGUAACAAGGUA